rnacentral:rRNA from 1 species
GUAGGUGGCAAGCGUUGUCCGGAAUUAUUGGGCGUAAAGCGCGCGCAGGCGGUCCUUUAAGUCUGAUGUGAAAGCCCACGGCUCAACCGUGGAGGGUCAUUGGAAACUGGGGGACUUGAGUACAGAAGAGGAAAGCGGAAUUCCAAGUGUAGCGGUGAAAUGCGUAGAGAUUUGGAGGAACACCAGUGGCGAAGGCGGCUUUCUGGUCUGUAACUGACGCUGAGGCGCGAAAGCAUGGGGAGCAAACAGGAUUAGAUACCCUGGUAGUCCACGCCGUAAACGAUGAGUGCUAAGUGUUAGGGGGUUUCCGCCCCCCUUAGUGCUGCAGCUAACGCAUUAAGCACUCCGCCUGGGAGUACGGCCGCAAGGCUG